rnacentral:rRNA from 1 species
UACGUAGGGGGCAAGCGUUGUCCGGAUUUAUUGGGCGUAAAGAGCUCGUAGGCGGACUGUCACGUCGGCUGUGAAAUCCCGAGGCUCAACCUCGGGUCUGCAGUCGAUACGGGCAAACUAGAGUAUUGCAGGGGAGACUGGAAUUCCUGGUGUAGCGGUGAAAUGCGCAGAUAUCAGGAGGAACACCGGUGGCGAAGGCGGGUCUCUGGGCAAUAACUGACGCUGAGGAGCGAAAGCGUGGGGAGCGAACAGG